CACAAGCCUAAAAAAUGCCAAAGGUGGAUCUAGGAAGUACCCCAUGAAGCUGCCAACUUUCACAGAACUUCUAACAAUGUCAAGUCUUACAGACCGUGCAUCCCUUCUGUGGUUGGAUGUAGCUGGCUGUACCACUGACUUUGGAGGUGGGAGUAAUGAGAGACUACAUUUCUGAAAAACCUAUAACCACAACGGUGUCUGAGGGAAGACUGUAAGUCCGAGUAAAGUUUCCUUCCUGGAAAGCAGUGAUAUUGAUCAGAAAGUGCAGAUGACUACAGAUGAC
rnacentral:lncRNA from 1 species